rfam:Oryza rufipogon genomic scaffold, chr06
GAUUUCAACUGAAAAAGUUAUCAACAACAAAGUUGAAUAACUCAUUAAGAUCUAUAACUUUUAUUUUGGUCAUUUCUUCAUCUGAUAAAAUGAUAGUAACAUUGUUCAUAAAUUUUACAUAUGUGUAUAGUUUAUAAAACCAGAUAAGAGAUAUGUCAAUUUUGUGAACAAUGUUACUAUCACUAUCAGAUGAAUAAAUGACCAAAAUAAAAGUUAUAGAUCUUGAUGAGUUAUUCAACUUUGUUGUUGAUAACUUUUUCAGUUGAAAUC